ACUUUGAUACUGGCUCGGGACGAACGCUGGCGGCGCGCCUAACACAUGCAAGUCGAGCGGGAAGCUUUUUAAGGAUUCUUCGGAUGAAUUAAAAAGUGGAGAGCGGCGGACGGGUGAGUAACGCGUGAGAAACCUGCCCUAUACAGGGGGAUAGCCAUUGGAAACGAUGAUUAAUACCCCAUAUGACCACAGUAUCGCAUGAUACAGCGGUGAAAACUCCGGUGGUAUAGGAUGGUCUCGCGUCUGAUUAGCUAGUUGGUGGGGUAACGGCCUACCAAGGCGACGAUCAGUAGCCGGCCUGAGAGGGUGACCGGCCACACUGGAACUGAGACACGGUCCAGACUCCUACGGGAGGCAGCAGUGGGGAAUAUUGCACAAUGGGCGAAAGCCUGAUGCAGCGACGCCGCGUGAACGAUGAAGGCUUUCGAGUCGUAAAGUUCUGUUCUUGGGGAAGAUAACGACGGUACCCAAGGAGAAAGCACCGGCUAAAUACGUGCCAGCAGCCGCGGUA
rnacentral:rRNA from 1 species